GUAGGCGCUGGGGGUACCCCUAUACUUGCACGUCGCCCGGGGCACUUGAGAGCUUGCUCUCUGGGUGGCGAGUGGCGGACGGGUGAGGAAUACAUCGGAAUCUACUUUUUCGUGGGGGAUAACGUAGGGAAACUUACGCUAAUACCGCAUACGACCUACGGGUGAAAGCAGGGGACCUUCGGGCCUUGCGCGAUUGAAUGAGCCGAUGUCGGAUUAGCUAGUUGGCGGGGUAAAGGCCCACCAAGGCGACGAUCCGUAGCUGGUCUGAGAGGAUGAUCAGCCACACUGGAACUGAGACACGGUCCAGACUCCUACGGGAGGCAGCAGUGGGGAAUAUUGGACAAUGGGCGCAAGCCUGAUCCAGCCAUACCGCGUGGGUGAAGAAGGCCUUCGGGUUGUAAAGCCCUUUUGUUGGGAAAGAAAUCCAGCUGGCUAAUACCCGGUUGGGAUGACGGUACCCAAAGAAUAAGCACCGGCUAACUUCGUGCCAGCAGCCGCGGUAAUACGAAGGGUGCAAGCGUUACUCGGAAUUACUGGGCGUAAAGCGUGCGUAGGUGGUCGUUUAAGUCCGUUGUGAAAGCCCUGGGCUCAACCUGGGAACUGCAGUGGAUACUGGCGACUAGAGUGUGGUAGAGGGUAGCGGAAUUCCUGGUGUAGCAGUGAAAUGCGUAGAGAUCAGAAGGAACAUCCAUGGCGAAGGCAGC
rnacentral:rRNA from 1 species